UCGUCCUUCUCUUUGUGCAGUGAACUCGUGGAUGGGGAAGAUGGUGGGUUUGGGUUCCGCGUGGCGGCAGCUGUGCAACCUUCCGAGAGGAAGGCGACCGCCUGCGCCGUCUUUGCACAGCUGCCAGCGUACAGGUACCUCAGUACCUCAGGGCCGUGUUGGACACUGAGGGGACCGAAGUCUCGGGCUGAGCAGGAUGGACUGUCAUUACAGACUAGAAUUUCUGAUGUCUCUGUGACUCCACUGGUUGGAACUGACCCAGCCCAGGGCAGGGAGACUCGUCUGGUAGUCGCCCUGGCUUCUGCUAACUCACUGGUUUCUUCCCAGGCCCCUGAUUCUCGAAGGAGGGUCCGCAGCGCGUCGAAGGGGUUUAAGACGUUCACCGGUGUGUUAUUUUUGAAUAAAGCUUGAGAGCUUUGGAAGCCCAGCAGGGGCAGUGCCCCUUCACAGAGAUUCAGGGAUAGCCUGGUGGCUGAAGGCCUAAAGUUUGGAAUUUUCCUCUUGGAGAAGUGCUGUUGGGAUAGCUGGGAUGCCCAGGUAAUGGUUCCUGCCACUUCAUCAACAAGCUGUGACAAGAAGUGGAGAGUAGCGUGCCUUCUACCUGGGUACUGUGAAUUUUGCUGACACAAAGGAUAUUCUUUACCUGGUGUCGGACACAUCCUUGGAACUUCACGUCUUUCCUGCAUUAACCCGCGUGAGCAGCUGUCAAUCUCCUGGGGUGGAGGAGACUGCCUAGAAAUUUGGGGACCAAAAUCAAUUAGGUGGCCUUUACUUCGUCUUACCCAAAAGACUCCAAUAAAAUAUUUUAAAGCAAAUAAAAAAUAGAUUGGUCUCAGUGAAAACAAGACGGUACAGAAAGGUUAGGGACAUGAAAGGUUAAGCACCAGUGAAUGAGCAUCACAGUUGACAUCUAGCUGUACCUCUUUGCAGCCACAUACAAAAAGUAGAUUUGCCACAUAUUGACACCAGUGUUAAGGAUUUCUAGAUUGAUUGUGGUAGUAUUCUUAUAUUUGAGGUUUUUAUUACGCCAUUGACACAGACAUCCAAUUUGCCUUUUGAUCAAUUGGUGAAAACAUAGGUUGUCCAGAUAUAUUUUAAAAGAAUAUACUGGUGGUUGCCAGGGGCAGGGAAUGAGGAAAUGAAGAGUUGCUGUUUAAUGGGUAUAGAGUUUCCAUUUUAGAAGAUGAAAAGAGUUUACGGGGAUGGAUGGUGGUGACGGUUGCUCAAUGUGAUGAAUGUGUUUGUUACCACUGAACUUUUAUGCUUAAAAGUGGUAAAGAAGGGGGAGGGGGAUAGAUUGGGAGAUUAGGAUUGACACAUACAUGCUACUACAUAUAAAAAAGGUAACUAAUAAAGAGCUAUUGUAUAGCACAGGGGACUCUACUGAAUACUCUGUAAUGGCCUAUAUGGGAAAAGAAUUUAACAAAAAAGUGGAUAUAUGUAUAGCUGAUUCACUUUGCUGUAUACCUGAAACUAACAUGACAUUGUAAAUCAACGAUACCCCAAUAAAAAAUUUUUAAAAAAUGGUAAAGAUGGUAAAUAUCAUGUGUAUUUCACUGCAGUAAAAAAAAAAAUGGGGGAAAAGCAUACUCUGUGCUCCUAUUUGUCAUCUUCAUAAAGGAGAUUCCCCACCAGCGUGUGAAGAGUAUGCUGCUGUAAGGCUGUAUUGUACAUUAGCCAGCUUCUGGUAAGGGGGCAUUUGAGUUUCUGGUCAUGGUAUAUACCAGUGCUGAUUCCCUAUUAAUUUGCACCCAUUUGAAGUUGUGUUGUAGAAUACAUUUACAAAAGUAGAAUUUCAGAGUCAAAGGAUUUGGGCAUUUAAAGUAAUGAUGUAUGUUCCAUAAAGUUGUCCCAGUUUAUACUCGUAACAGCAGUCUCCUUCAGAGUGCCUGUUUCUCUAUCUGCCAUCACUACUCCAGGUGGAUUGUACCAGUUUGUGUACCUAAUAAUUCAUUUUUUUAAAAAUAAUUCAUCUUUUAAAUAACCACAUCUUUUGCAUCUGUUUUCCUAUGGAACGUUUCCAUCUUGGUCCCCACUCAGCAAAGAUUUUUUCCAACUUUUAUUUUCCUUAAUCGUCUUUGCCAGGCCUUUUUUUUUUUUCCCGUCCUUGAAAUUGCCCUGUUUGGUACUCUCUACAGGACACGGUUCCUGCUCCCAUUGCUAUUCCCUGACCACGGGUUCUGUAUAAUCUUAGCAGCCACCAUAUAUUUAGUGCUUUGGUCUGUCCUAGGCUUUUUAUGUGUUUCACUUCAUUGAAUCCUUAAAACCUUGCAAAGUAGAUAUGUAUCUAUCCUACCUUGCAAGCAAGGAGAGGAAAGCUCAGGGAUGUUAAAUAAUUUGCUUAAGGUCACAGAGAUAGGAGGUACUGAGGCCCCUGGGCUGGACACUGGUGUUUGUCAAGUGGGAGUAAAAUUGAAGCUUGGUUCUCACCCAGACACUCCAAGGACAAAGCAAGUGGCAGAAGCUGAGCUCUGCUGAAGUUAAGAGAUAAGAUGACCACUCCUGAGGUCAAGGCCUCUGCAGUGGAAUCCAUCUUGGCAAAAAGCUGCACUCGCAUCUUGGGGAGGGUCCUAGGACUGGUCAGCUGUGAAAAAAGAAAACGAUAAUUGGCUAAAGGUAACCAAAGACCCGGAAGACCCGUCCUAUGUGAUUUAAAUCGCCCUUUUCGCUACUCCUCAGAGAGGAUGCCCAUAUCCUUUCUCUCCGUGUAUUUCUGCCUUGCUUCUGUCUUAAAUAAACUGUUUCUCUGUUUGCUGUUCUCCCAAUUGUGUUGUGUCUCUAAUAAUAAACUUUGUAUCUGUUCUUACAGUUUUUGCCUCCUUGAAACAUUCUUGCUUUCAAAUGGGGCAAGAGCCAGGGAACUUUGCUUCUAUCCUCUAGCCACUGGUGGACUAGCUGCUAGGUUCUAUUCCCGGGCAGGAACUAAGAUCUCUCUUCAGGACCACUCACUGGUCUCUCCAAGGUCAGUGUCAGUCAGGAUUCAAAUUCCUUUCUGUCUAGUAUAUAAUAUACCUACGGCCUAGCUUUAAACAUUUCCAAUAACUGAAGUAAACCUUUCUUUGAUUCCGUUUUUCUUUUUCUCCCUCCCACUCAGAGGAUGUCACCCAGCUGAAUUGUGGCUGUAUCAUUCUUUGGUUUUGUACUCUGAUUUCAAUGCGUCCCUAAAAUAUUGUUUGGUUUUGUAUUUUGUAUCUUUUUGAGCUUCAUAAAUAUGGACUAAUACUCCACGUAGUUACGUUGCAGCUUGGUUCUUUUUUGUUCACAUACUUCCCUAUAGUUUAGAUUCUACACUUCCAAACACAUUUCUGCCCAUUUUUAUUUAGGCAAAAACCAAACAAUUCUAGGUUGACGGGUGUCUCUGGGUAGUGUACAUGAGGACUUGCAUUUGUAAGUGCAUUUUUCUAGGGUGACAGUAUCACAUACGAAGCACAGGGGACUGGUUAAGAUGUAGGGAGCCAGACUGAAUACUUACAGCUGUUCAACUUUGGCUGAGUUACUUAGCCACUCUAUUUCCUCAUUUGUAAAUGAAUAAAAGCGUACCUACGCUUACGGAGUUGUUAGGUUUAACUAUAUGUAAAUGCACUUAAAACUGCCUAACAUAGAAAGCCUUAUUUAGGCAUUAGCUACAAUUAGAUUAUUCCAAAUAGCUUAGACAUUAGCUAGCAUAGCCUAGUCAGUACCUCAUCCAGUUUUCCUUAGUCCUUGACAUUACUAUAAAAUGGUCAACUUCAUUUCUUGUCCAUAGGGUCUCUUCUGCAUUCUCUUGCCCUUAUUUGUAUGAUCCAAGUCCUGCCCUAGGUGUUCAGACCCUCCUUCCUGUGUCAGUCCCAGGUUUAGAGUAUAAGACUGAGGGACUUCCAUGGUGGUGCAGUGGUUGAGAAUCCAGGGGACAUGGGUUUGAUCUGAUCCCUGGUCCAGGAGGAUCCCACAUGCCACGGAACAACUGGGCCCGUGCGCCACAACUCCUGAGCCUGUGCUCUAGAGCCCGUGAGCCACACUGCUGAAGCCUGCACACCUAGAGCCCGUGCUCCACAGCAAGAGAAGCCACUGCAAUGAGAAGGCCAUGAGCCGCAACCAAAGAGUAGCCCCCGCUCACCGCAACUAGAGAAAGCCUGCGUGCAGCAACAAAGACCCAACGCAGCCAUAAAUAAAUAAAUAAAUAAAUAAAU